rnacentral:rRNA from 1 species
UACGUAGGGUGCAAGCGUUGUCCGGAAUUAUUGGGCGUAAAGAGCUCGUAGGCGGUUUGUCGCGUCUGCUGUGAAAUCUGGAGGCUCAACCUCCAGCCUGCGGUGGGUACGGGCAGACUAGAGUGCGGUAGGGGAGAUUGGAACUCCUGGUGUAGCGGUGGAAUGCGCAGAUAUCAGGAAGAACACCGAUGGCGAAGGCAGAUCCCUGGGCCGUAACUGACGCUGAGGAGCGAAAGCAUGGGGAGCGAACAGG